UCUGUUUUCAGUCUCUGGCAAAAAUGGCAAUCUCCUCUCUGCGAUUUCCGCUCUCUUCAUGGCUUGUCAAAAACCCAUUACAACCCACUUUUAAGUCUCUGCUAAUGCCAUUAUUUCCAUUGAAACUGAGAUUAUUAUGCUUUUCUUGUGGUUGUUCGCUUCCAUCUCCACCAUCAACUUCUCAUGCCUUAAACCAGUCCCAGAAAUGGCAACCCUUUCGCAAGAAAAAGGUCGUUCUGCGGGUUGGUUAUGUGGGCACUGACUACAGAGGUCUUCAAAAGCAACAAGAUGAACAUUCACUGUCGACUAUUGAAGAAGAAUUGGAGCAUGCCAUAUUUAAGGCUGGUGGAAUUCUUGAUAGUAAUUAUGGACAUCUGCAAAAAGUUGCCUGGGCUAGAAGUAGCCGUACUGAUAAAGGAGUUCACUCAUUGGCAACAAUGAUAACAAUGAAGAUGGAGAUACCUGAAAAUGCAUGGAACGAAGACCCUUACGGCAUUGCCCUUGCAGAACAUGUUAAUAAUUAUCUCCCUGAUACUAUCAGAAUUUUCAGCAUUUUGCCCUCACAGAAGAGCUUUGAUCCUAGAAGAGAGUGUGACCUACGGAAAUAUUCCUACCUCCUUCCUGCUGAAAUUAUUGGGAUCAAACGUCACUUUACCACUGCUGAAAUUGAUAAUCACUUAUCAGACUUCAAUGAUAUAUUAAAUACCUUUGAGGGGGAGCAUCCCUUUCAUAAUUAUACAAUACGGUCCAAGUACAGGCGUGCUCCUAAAAUUGGCCGUGUUUCAAGGAAAGCAAGAUCAUUUGGUGAGAGAUCAGCCUCUGAAAUUGAAGAAAGUGAUCGAGAAGAAAAUUAUGGCAUUGAUCGAAUGAUUAAAUUGGACUGCAUGGAAACAACUCAAAAUUCUAAGGAAUCCAGCUUCCAUGAUCAGAAUGGGAGUGUGCUGAAGGACCAACAGUCAAAUGCAUUUAUCCAUGCCAGAUGGCUACAUGAACCUGAUGAGACAGAUAGAAUAGGUGCUUCCCAUUUCAGAAAGAUCUUUCGCUGUUCAUGUGGAAAGCUGGAGAAAUCAGGGAGAUUUGAUUUUGUUGAAAUUUCUAUAUGGGGAGAGUCAUUCAUGUUACAUCAGUAUAUUAUUUGAUAAUUUGAAAAUGCCGAGAGGGGGAUCUAAUAAACCAAGUCAAGAUAUGGGAUGGAAUUUUGCCAUUCCUAUGGGAAAAAAAAGGAGAAAUGACCUGUAAUUUUUGCGGUAAAAAAAAAAAUUGGGAGGAUAACUCGCUUGAAGCAGCAUUUGGCAAAUAUACUAGGGCAAGUUGCUGGUUGUCAAAAAGUUUAUGCGCAAGUAAAAAAAGACAUGGGAAAUAUGUUGAGGGGUUUUGAAGCUGCAAAAAGGGAUAAAGCAAAGAGGGCAAGGGAGUUGGAAGAUGAAAUCAUGAAGAUGACAGAAGUUGAGGGUUCAGAUUCAGACAAAGAAGAUAUUGAACUAGUAAUUGCGAGACGCGAAAGCAUGCGGCAGUUUGAUGAAGAUGCUUAUAGAAGGAGAGCUUCUCAUUAUGAAAGUGGUGGGAGUAGCCAUCAAGCUCCUCCUCACUCGGGAAUUAGUCGUUCAGCGACCGUUCGUGAAAGAGGUAGAGAAGCAUCAAGAUUUGUCGAGCAAACAUCAACACUUGCUUCUAGAUUAGCAACAGUUGAAAUUGAAAUAGAAAAGAACAGAAGUCUGAAACAAACAAAGAUUAAAACCAAAUGGCUUAAGUCGCAGAAAGAAAAGUUGUUUAAAGCCUUUGGUAAUUUUGUUAUCCACAACAUAUUACCUUUUAGUGUAGUUGAGUCACCAUAUACAAAGCCAUUACUCAGAACGGCCGCUGAAGUGGGACCUAAUGUAUCACCACCACCUUCAGCAUAUGAGAUCUCUGAAGUAUAUUUGAAAAAUAAAUACAAAGAAAUGAAGAAAUAUAUUGCUUCAUUUGAGGGCAUGUGGAAUGAAAGAGGAGUUACCAUUAUGUGUGAUGGAUAGAGCGUACCUACCAGAAUGAGUAUAAUUAAUUUUCUAGUCUACUCUCCUCGUGGAACACUGUUCUAUAAAUCCAUAGAUGCAAGUAAUGUUGAACGAAAAGAUGGAGAAUAUUACUUCAAGAUCAUGAAGGAGGUGGUUGAAGAAAUUGGCCCAAGCAAAAUUGUCCAAGUGGUGACUGAUAAUGAAGCUGCUAUUAAAUCUGGUGGCAAAAAGUUGAUGGAGAAGUUUCCAAAUUUGUAUUGGACACAUGCAGUGCACAUUGCAUUGUUUUAAUUUUAGAAGAUUUUGGAAAGAGGAAGAAUAUAAAGACCGUCAUUGAGCAAGGAAAAGUUAUCACCCAAUUUAUUUACAAUCAUAAUUGGGUGGUAAAUUACAUGAAGAAAUUUACUGAUGGUCGAGAUAUAAUUCGCCUCGGGAUUACUAGAUUUGCAACUAAUUUUAUUGCAUUGGAGAGUCUUCUUCGAUAUAGAACAGGGUAAAGAAAUAUGUUUGAAUCCGAGCAAUGGGUAGGAAGUAAAUAUGGCCAGGCUACCAGUGGACCAGCUUAUGAAGCUAAGAAAAUUGUUUUUAGCUUAGAUAAAGAGGGAAGAAAUUUUUGGGAUAAAGCGAGCAAAUUAUGAAAAUCCAAGAGCUAUUGCUUAAAGUGUUGAAAUUAGUGGAUGGUGACGAAAAACUAACAAUGUAAUUUAUAUAUGAAGCAAUGGAACGAGCAAAAUUGGCCAUUAAGCAAAAUUCUAGAAGUUAUAUAGACUACUGGAAAACUCAUUGAAAUUUUCAAUUACAUCAUAAUUUGCAUGCGGCUGGAUAUUUUUUGAAUCCUCAAUAUCAGUAUGGUCCACACGAUAUUAGAAAUGAUAGUGAAAUUAUGGCGGGCCUUAAAAAUGUUAUUUAAAGGCUAGAGAGUGAUUUGGUAAAUCAAGGCCAUGCAUUGAACCAAACACAACUUUAUAAGCAUAAAAUGGAGAGUUUUGAGUCUGCCUUAGCACAAAAAGCUGAAUGGUGGAUACAUUAUGGUGAAAGUGCUCCUGAACUACAAAGAAUUGUAGUAAGAGUGUUGAGUCAAAUCACUUCUGCAUCUAAUUGUGAAAGAAAUUGGAGCACUUUUUCACUUAUACAUACAAAGACGAGAAACAGAUUACGGUAUCAAAAAUUGCACACUUGUUUUUGUUCACUACAAUAUGCGGCUGAAGUUGAGGAAUUUGAGCAGAAAGAGUCAGCAUGAGCUAGAAAAGAGUUAUAAUCCAAUUAAUUUGGAUUACAUUUUCGAGGAAGAUGAUCCACUAAAUCCUUGGUUGGAGGAAAGGGAAAAUCCUGUGCUUGAUGGUAAAGAAAAUCCUUGGCUAGAGGAGGAUGAGCCCGCUCCAUCACAAUCACAACAAGUUAAUGCUCCAACUCGUGGACAUAAUAUUGGAGGCAGUGGUGAUGCUGAACCUGAAGAUUCUUUUAUACUAUCUAGUUCCAGUGAUGAUGAUGAUGGUGGUAGUGGUCAGGGUGGAAGAGGUGAAGGUUGUGGAGCUACUAGUUCAUUACAAUCACAUGAUGAUCCCUCUUCAUAUCAGAGGCAUAGUCCAUCUCCAGCUCCAGCUCCAACUUUGCAACAUACAUAUCACAGAUCUCGUGGUUCUGGUGGUAGCAGUGAUAAGGGAAAAGGUGUUGCACAUGGAAAGUGUUUUAUGGAUGCAGAUAAUUAUGGAUUUGGGACUUAUAGUACAAGUGAAUCUUCAAUGGAAGCAACCUCUACUAGUGAUUAUGGAUAUAGAGGAAAUUUUCAAUGGGAAUACUCAAAUCCAUGGAUCAGCCUCCUCCAUCGUAUUCUGAUUUAUCUUUGUCAGAGCAAUCAUUCUCCCACACUCAAACUCAGUCCAAUCCUAGUGAUCAAUUUAGUAUGGGUUCAUUCUUCAGCUUUGAUCCAUCACAAUACUAUCAAUAUCAUCAAGAUCAAAACUCUCAAUCACAAGAUGAAGGUGGUGGAUCUACUCAAGAACCUGCUAGACGCUUAUUCUGGUGGUAAUUGAGGCCGUUACUGUUACGUUAUAACCGUUACAGGCCUGUUUUCGUUACUUGCGACCGCGACCGCGAUUUGGUCGCGAUUUGAAACCAUGAAUGACAUGAUCAGUGGCAUGAUUUGGAGGCAAGGUAGUUAAUUUAUCAAACAAUUCGGGAUAUGGUUGCAACAAGGAUGACAAUUGCUAUUAUUGGUUCACUGUUAUGUCACCAUCAAGGUUCGGAGUAGGAGAUAAUGCAGAAACUUCUCACAAUACUGAAGAAUAAUCAAUAUUCGUUAUUUUAGAUAACUUAGAUAUUGAGAUUACCUCACUGGUACACGAUGUUAGUCCUAAUAGAGUGACUGAUUGUCCCUUUACUUGGAAUGCCAUCUUCAUUUAGCCCAAUUAAUCUGCAUAUCAGCCGAUGUAGUCAACCAGGCCAUACCCAAGAUUGUAUCCACCCUUCCAAAGGAAAGACAAAGCAAUUAGCUGUGAUAUCAACAUUACCCAAACUGAGAAGAAGUUGUUGACAAACCCCAAAAGUAGAAACCCAAUGACCAUCACCCAAUGUAACCCCCAAAAACUGGCGUAGCUUUAACAGAUAGCUGCAAUGGGCAACGACAGUCUCAAAUAUGAAGUUAUGACUGGCACCACUAUCAAUCAUGAUGGUAAUAGAGUGAUGGAGAAGCUGCCCCACUAGUUUCAUCGUCUUAGGAAAAGAGAUGAUGCCAACAGAGUAGAAAGGCAACUCUAUAUUUGAAAAAUGUGCUUCAUUUACCUAAAACAGGUCAAGAGGAAUUGAUUCAAUAACAACAUAUCUGAAUUGCCCUUUGCUACAGAUUCUUCAUCAUCACCCGCUCUAAUUGCUCUAAAGGAUUUAUUAGGGCUGUCAUGCAUUGGAUGGAAUGGCUGUUUACACUUGGAACACAGUCCUUUGGCUCACAAGUCAAGGAAUUCUUGAUGGGUAUAUUGGCGAGAGCCACUGUUUCGGUUGUGAACAGAUUGAGAUCUGUUGGAAGAAGAAGCGGUGGUCGGGAGAGGUUUUAGGGAUGUACUUGUGUGUCUAUCCUGUCUAGGUGCUGGCAGUUCAGUGUAGUUUGGCUUAUAAGUGUGGGUUGCUGUUGAGGCAAAUGGGUUAGGGUUUUUAAUGGUGGUGAUGGGGUCUGCUUUAAUAGACAUCCAGAGUUCCAAUGAAGGCCACUGUUUUCUGUUGGUUGAUUAAUUUUGUGGGAUAACAAAAACUGAGUCUCCAUCUCAAUUUCGCAGGCAAUAGACAUGAUUCGCACCAAAUCAACUGCUUCAUGUGAAUGAACCCAAAUUUCAUUGCCCAAUCCACUCUGGAAAUAACCCAAAUAUUGCUGGUUCGUUAACCCUUCCACCUGUGAUGCAAGAGUAACAAAUGAAUUGAUAUACCUCAUCAACGUACUGUUCUUGUCAUGAGGUGGCCAACAUUUCAAAGGGAUUGGUUCGCUUAUCUCCACUAUAUCUUUGCAGAAGUUCUUGGGUAAGUUGUUGCCAAGAGAUUGAUGGACUCCUUUGUCAUAGCCACCUAAUCCAAUGCAGUGCAUGGCCCUCCAUGCAGACUAAAGCAAGCUGGACCUUCAUAUCAUCCUUAGUAUUAUUAAUAGUGAAGUAUUGCUCAGCCCUAGCGAGCCACCCGAUUGGAUCAACCCCAUCAAAAUUUGCAAGCUCCACUUUCUUUAUCGCCAUGGAAGAAUUGUCAAUAAUAAUAGGAGCAGGAACAAAUGAGUGGAUGCUUCAGCCUCAUCUGACGGUGCUGUACCAUGAGCGAAGGAAGUCAGUAAUUGCUCUAGCUUCGUGAAGCGGUGAUCCUGUUCAACCUGAAAGGAUGCCAACCGUUGUUGCUGUUCAAGCUUCAUGGCAGCUAGAACUUCCUCAACAGUGUUGAUGCUCCUCUCUACCUGAGCUAAGCGGUUAUUAACUCCUCAUUCCAUGCGAGUUUUAGGCAUGGAGAGACAAGGAAGGGCAGGUCGGACCAAUAAUGGUAGAGUUAGGAACACAGAGUAAAGGAAUAGAGGUGGAUGAGAGGGAAAUAUUGGGCUGUAUAUUCAAUACUCAGAAUUUCUUAGCUUACAAAUACCCUUCUGCUCAAUUCCAGAGUGAAACUAAGGUCCCAGGAGAAAGAACUUCUGUUUAGCAAUGGCUAGCCCAGCAUUCAAAGCUGAAUAUAAGAUAAGGAAAACAAGCAUACCCUACACAUCUGACGCGGAACCCCAGCCUAUUAGAGACUGAAACGACACAUACCCUAGUAAAAAGAACUUAAUUCAGAAAACAACUCCCCAAUCUAAAGCACCCUUAAUUAACAUGCAAUUAAAAACACUUAUAAC